rnacentral:rRNA from 1 species
AACGAACGCUGGCGGCGUGCUUAACACAUGCAAGUCGAACGAAGUAGCAAUACUUAGUGGCGCACGGGUGAGUAACACGUGGGAAUCUGCCUGGUAGUGGGGAAUAACAGUUGGAAACGACUGCUAAUACCGCAUAAUCUCGAAAGAGGAAAGAUUUAUCGCUAUCAGAUGAGCCCGCGCCUGAUUAGGUAGUUGGUGGGGUAAUGGCCUACCAAGCCGACGAUCAGUAACUGGUCUGAGAGGACGACCAGUCACACUGGGACUGAGACACGGCCCAGACUCCUACGGGAGGCAGCAGUGGGGAAUUUUGGACAAUGGGCGAAAGCCUGAUCCAGCGACGCCGCGUGAAUGAUGAAGGCCUUCGGGUUGUAAAGUUCUUUUGGCAGGGAAGAUAAUGACGGUACCUGCAGAAUAAGCUCCGGCUAACUCUGUG